rnacentral:tRNA from 1 species
GCCGGUGUGGCGGAAUUGGUAGACGCACGGGACUCAAAAUCCCGCGGCCGCAAGGUCAUGUGGGUUCGACCCCCUCCACCGGCACCA